GACCUGGUAGCUAAGUUGGUAGAGCAUCUCCCGUUUAAGGAGAGGGUCCUGGGUUCGAGCCCCAGCCAGGUCA
rnacentral:tRNA from 1 species